UACUACGGCCACGCCCCCCUGAGCACGCGCGAUCCCGGCUGAUCUCGGAAGCUAAGCAGGGUCGGGCCUGGUUAGUGCUUGGAUGGGAGACCAUUUUUAGGAAGACCAGGUGCUGUAGGCG
rnacentral:rRNA from 1 species